AGCGAACGCUGGCGGCAGGCUUAACACAUGCAAGUCGAGCGCCCCGCAAGGGGAGCGGCAGACGGGUGAGUAACACGUGGGAACGUACCCUUUGGUUCGGAACAACCCAGGGAAACUUGGGCUAAUACCGGAUAAGUCCGCGAGGAGAAAGAUUUAUCGCCGAAGGAUCGGCCCGCGUCUGAUUAGCUAGUUGGUGUGGUAACGGCGCACCAAGGCGACGAUCAGUAGCUGGUCUGAGAGGAUGAUCAGCCACACUGGGACUGAGACACGGCCCAGACUCCUACGGGAGGCAGCAGUGGGGAAUAUUGGACAAUGGGGGCAACCCUGAUCCAGCCAUGCCGCGUGAGUGAUGAAGGCCCUAGGGUUGUAAAGCUCUUUCGGUGGGGAAGAUAAUGACGGUACCCACAGAAGAAGCCCCGGCGAACUUCGU
rnacentral:rRNA from 1 species